rnacentral:lncRNA from 1 species
UAAGUUCUGUUAUGUCCGUGGUUGGAAGUUGAGGGGUUGUCAACCCUCGGUUGUCGUCGGCGUCAAUCUAUGUCAUCAUCUCGUCGGCAACGGAGGCUCGGAUGCCUGUGACCAACCUACACAACCUGUGUGUAUAUAUGGGUGGAUUUUAUAUACACGGGCAUGGCAGGGACUCGUAUUAUAUGCAGUAUACGGAGCUCGGACAUUGCUAUCGGUUUUUGCAAUAUAUCCAUCCAUCCUGAGGGGGGUCGGAUAGAAUACUAUGUACCAAAUAUAUAUAAAUACAUUCGGUCGAUCGGAGCGGGCCGAAGGAAAAAGCUUAACCCAUGGUUCUGUCACACAAAUGACGGAAUCAUAUCAGAGCUGAACGGGCGGGCUGCUCAGUUCUUUUCAUGCUGACGUCGCAUGUACAAAUGCACCCGUUAC